rnacentral:rRNA from 1 species
GUGCCAGCAGCCGCGGUAAUACCGGCAGCCCGAGUGAUGGCCGAUCUUAUUAGGCCUAAAGUGUCCGUAGCUGGCUGCGCAAGUCCGUCGGGAAAUCCACUCGCUCAACGAGUGGGCGUCCGACGGAAACUGCACAGCUUGGGACCGGAAGGCUCGAAGGGUACGUUCGGGGUAGGAGUGAAAUCCCGUAAUCCCGGACGGACUACCGAUGGCGAAAGCACUCUGAGAAGACGGCUUCGACAGUGAGGGACGAAAGCUCGGGUCUCAAACCGGAUUAGAUACCCCAGUAGUCC